CCCAGACUCCUACGGGAGGCAGCAGUGGGGGAUAUUGCACAAUGGGGGGAACCCUGAUGCAGCGACGCCGCGUGGGUGAAGGAGCGUUUCGGCGCGUAAAGCCCUCUCGGCAGGGAAGAAGGAGGACGGUACCUGACUAAGAAGCCCCGGCUAACUACGUGCCAGCAGCCGCGGUAAUACGUAGGGGGCAAGCGUUAUCCGGGUUUACGGGGUGUAAAGGGGGCGCAGACGGCAGCGCAAGCCAGGAGUGAAAGCCCGGGGCCCAACCCCGGGACUGCUCUUGGAACUGGGCGGCUGGAGUGCAGGAGGGGCAGGCGGAAUUCCUGGUGUAGCGGUGAAAUGCGUAGAUAUCAGGAGGAACACCGGUGGCGAAGGCGGCCUGCUGGACUGCGACUGACGGUGAGGCGCGAAAGCGUGGGGAGCAAACAGGAUUAGAUACCCUUGUAA
rnacentral:rRNA from 1 species